AUUGAACGCUGGCGGCAGGCUUAACACAUGCAAGUCGAGCGGAGAUGAGGUGCUUGCACCUUAUCUUAGCGGCGGACGGGUGAGUAAUGCUUAGGAAUCUGCCUAUUAGUGGGGGACAACAUUCCGAAAGGAAUGCUAAUACCGCAUACGUCCUACGGGAGAAAGCAGGGGAUCUUCGGACCUUGCGCUAAUAGAUGAGCCUAAGUCGGAUUAACUAGUUGGUGGGGUAAAGGCCUACCAAGGCGACGAUCUGUAGCGGGUCUGAGAGGAUGGUCCGCCACACUGGGACUGAGACACGGCCCAGACUCCUACGGGAGGCAGCAGUGGGGAAUAUUGGACAAUGGGGGGAACCCUGAUCCAGCCAUGCCGCGUGUGUGAAGAAGGCCUUAUGGUUGUAAAGCACUUUAAGCGAGGAGGAGGCUACUGAGACUAAUACUCUUGGAUAGUGGACGUUACUCGCAGAAUAAGCACCGGCUAACUCCGUGCCAGCCGCCGCAGUAA
rnacentral:rRNA from 1 species